GUGGGGAAUAUUGGACAAUGGGCGAAAGCCUGAUCCAGCCAUGCCGCGUGAGUGAUGAAGGCCUUAGGGUUGUAAAGCUCUUUCAGUAGGGAAGAUAAUGACGGUACCUACAGAAGAAGCCCCGGCUAACUUCGUGCCAGCAGCCGCGGUAAUACGAAGGGGGCUAGCGUUGUUCGGAUUUACUGGGCGUAAAGCGCACGUAGGCGGAUUGGUCAGUUAGAGGUGAAAUCCUGGAGCUCAACUCCAGAACUGCCUUUAAUACUGCCAGUAUAGAGUCCAGAAGAGGUGAGUGGAACUCCUAGUGUAGAGGUGGAAUUCGUAGAUAUUAGGAAGAACACCAGUGGCGAAGGCGGCUCACUGGUCUGGUACUGACGCUGAGGUGCGAAAGCGUGGGGAGCAAACAGGAUUAGAUACCCGGGUAGUCC
rnacentral:rRNA from 1 species